CCCUUAGAUGUUCUGGGCCGCACGCGCGCUACACUGAUGCAUUCAACGAGUCUAAAACCUGGUCUGAUAGGGCUGGGUAAUCUUUUGAAAGUGCAUCGUGAUUGGGAUAGAUGAUUGCAAUUCUUCAUCUUCAACGAGGAAUGCCUAGUAAACGCAAGUCAUCAGCUUGCAUCGAUUACGUCCCUGCCCUUUGUACACACCGCCCGUCGCUCCUACCGAUUGAAUGAUCCGAUGAAUACCAUGGAUUGAGAGUACGAAUGGGUUCGCUCAUUUCUGCUGCUCGAGAAGUGGAGUAAAUCUUAUCAUUUAGAGGAAGGAGAAGUCGUAACA
rnacentral:rRNA from 1 species